UAACGCGUGGGUAACCUGCCCUUUUGUGGGGAACAACUUCGAGAAAUCGGAGCUAAUACCGCAUAAUAAUAGAGGAUCGCAUGAUUCUUUAAGGAAAGAUGGCCUCUGAAGAUGCUAUCGCAAAAGGAUGGACCCGCGUCUGAUUAGCUAGUUGGAAGGGUAACGGCCUACCAAGGCAACGAUCAGUAGCCGGCCUGAGAGGGUGAACGGCCACAUUGGGACUGAGACACGGCCCAAACUCCUACGGAAGGCAGCAG
rnacentral:rRNA from 1 species